GCAACGCGAAGAACCUUACCAGGUCUUGACAUCCCUGACAACCCGAGAGAUCGGGCGUUCCCCUUCGGGGGACAGGGUGACAGGUGGUGCAUGGUUGUCGUCAGCUCGUGUCGUGAGAUGUUGGGUUAAGUCCCGCAACGAGCGCAACCCUCGACCUUAGUUGCCAGCAUUCAGUUGGGCACUCUAAGGUGACUGCCGGUAAUAAACCGGAGGAAGUGGGGAUGACGUCAAAUCAUCAUGCCCCUUAUGACCUGGGCUACACACGUGCUACAAUGGUUGGUACAACGAGUUGCGAGUCGGUGACGGCGAGCUAAUCUCUUAAAGCCAAUCUCAGUUCGGAUUGUAGGCUGCAACUCGCCUACAUGAAGUCGGAAUCGCUAGUAAUCGCGGAUCAGCACGCCGCGGUGAAUACGUUCCCGGGCCUU
rnacentral:rRNA from 1 species